rnacentral:lncRNA from 1 species
AAUUGCGGGCUCGAGCUAAGAUCGAGUGCGCCUGCCGGCUCACGGGCCACGUAGACCCAGCCCUGGGGCUGCCGGCCUCAGCUGCGCGGCACUUACACCCCUGUGGCAGGGACCUAGCGGUGUUUCUGGUGCAGUUCCCCCUCUCACCGGUGAGGAGCCAUGAGGGGCGUGCCAAGGGUACCAGAUUGUUAGCAGUACCCAGGUGCUGGCAGGUCACCCUGCCGAUAGAACAUGGAGGUGUCCUACCAGAUGGCAUGCAGCAGUGGCAUGCAAAGCCCAGUACCUGGCGCACAAAAGUCACCUGAUCGUGCUGGGCUGGGACAGGAACUGCCCUGAAAGUCGGAUUGCUGAGCAGGAGCCGCGUGGGCUCACAGGACUUGCUGUGCAGUUGGAAGGACAGAAGGUUCUGGACACUCAGCCUUUGCUCAGGUGUCACUUUAUGCAUUCAGUGGAGUGGGGGGCUCCUGUGUGCAAGGAUGUCCUCCAUGGCUGCUACCGGGCCGAGUUCCAGGGGACCAGCAGGGAUCUGGCGAGAGCCAUGAGGUGCUAACCUUCUGCCCCAUGCUAAAAAAACAAAAAUAAAUAAACAACCCUGCCUCUUUG